ensembl:lncRNA
GGCAGGGGCCUAGCCGGCGCUCCCCUCAGCAUGCAUGCACCUGCAGGUACUCAUGCAUUCAACGUGCCUCCAAGCCCUGGAAAGGGGAAAAGGUGUGGAAAGAGAGAGGUGCGUGGUCAGGGAGCAGCCCCAUGUGCGGGUGAAACAUCUCUGAAAAACUCCGUCAAAAGGACCAAAUGAGCAUCUCACGUGGAGAUGGAAGAGGGAUGUGGUCCAGACGCUGUGGGCAGCGUCCCUAGUCACGGUGUCCAUAGGCUGCGACCCAGAAGCACAAUUUUAUGGGCUCUUCACUGAUGUAUCCCCAGGCCCCAGAAUGCUGCCUAGGUUACAGAGAUAAGCCCCAAGCACCCAAAAGGCUACAAAACUCAGCCGUCUCCAUGCCCUGGACCUGGCUCAGUUCUCGGGAUCUGGUUUCAAGAUUCAUCUACCAUCUUCCCAAGUAUUGAUCAAGGACAGCGUUCUUCUACCACAGUUGGGCUCCGUAUUGAUUGUCGGGGGAUCUGCUCUAUUCGACCUCUGCAGGGGAUCUUCCUGACCCAGGGAUUGAACCCUCCUCCCUUGCACUGGCAGGCGGAUUCUUCACCCCUGAGCCAUCUGGAAAGCCCUCCUGAUAUGUCACUGUGGACACCCUUCCACAAGGACAGAUUCACCUUGGCUAACAGCAUCCCACGUCGUGCUAGUUGCCAGUCCUUCUGCUUCGGUGUGAUUCCUCCAUCACAGCAGUGGGGCUCAGCCGAUGGGAGAUGGGGGCUUCCAGGUGCUGACUCCCCCAGACCAUUCUGGGAGACUUUCUGAAUGCUGCUUGGCUGGGCUGGCAGAAGGGAACACUGCCCUCAGAGGUGAUGCUAUGUGGGCGUUUCCCCUUUUCUUAUGUAAACUUUCUACCCUCUCGCUCCUCUUCCUC